rnacentral:rRNA from 1 species
GAGAAGCCCACUAAACCCUAUCAUUUAGAGGAAGGAGAAGUCGUAACAAGGUUUCCGUAGGUGAACCUGCGGAAGGAUCAUUG